ACGCUCGACACCUACGGAGGCAGCAGUGGGGGAUAUUGCACAAUGGGGGAAACCCUGAUGCAGCAACGCCGCGUGAGGGAAGACGGUUUUCGGAUUGUAAACCUCUGUCAUCGGUGACGAUAAUGACGGUAGCCGAUGAGGAAGCUCCGGCUAACUACGUGCCAACAGCCGCGGUAAUCUGAGCGGGCUGGCAAGGC
rnacentral:rRNA from 1 species